rnacentral:rRNA from 1 species
GACCAUCCGGUAAGGCUAAAUACUCCCUAGAGACCGAUAGUGAACCAGUACCGUGAGGGAAAGGUGAAAAGCACCUCGCACAGAGGAGUGAAAUAGUCCCUGAAACCGUUCGCUUACAAGCGGUCGGAGCACCCAUGUGGUGUGACGGCGUGCCUUUUGCAUAAUGAACCUACGAGUCACCUUCACCAGCGAGGUUAAGGUCUUCAGGACCGCAGCCGAAGGGAAACCGAGUCUGAACAGGGCGUUGAGUUGUUGGAGGUGGACGCGAAACCAAGUGAUCUACCCCAGGGCAGGCUGAAGUCCCGGUAACACGGGAUGGAGGGCCCAACCGGUAAACGUUGAAAAGUUUUCGGAUGACCUUGGGGUAGGGGUGAAAGGCUAAUCAAACUUGGAGAUAGCUCGUACUCCCCGAAAUGCAUUUAGGUGCAGCGUGCCGGGUGUCUGCAUGGAGGUAGAGCGACUGAUUGGAUGCGAGGGCUUCACCGCCUAUCAAGUCCAGACAAACUCCGAAUGCCUGCAGAUUGACCGGUGCAGUGAGGGCAUGGGUGCUAAGGUCCGUGUCCGAGAGGAGAAGAAUCCAGAUCACCGGCUAAGGUCCCGAAAUGACAGCUAAGUUGAACUAACGAGGUCGGACUGCAGAGACAGCUAGGAUGUUGGCUUGGAAGCAGCCAUUCAUUUAAAGAGUGCGUAACAGCUCACUAGUCGAGCGGUCCGGCAUGGAUAAUAAUCGGGCAUAAGCUGUUUACCGAAGCCGUGGGAUAUGCAUUUGCAUAUCGGUAGGGGAGCAUUGCGGACGCGCCGAAGGUGGGGGACGACCCCUGCUGGAGCGUCCGGAAAAGCAAAUGUAGGUAUAAGUAACGAUAAAGCGGGUGUGAAACCCGCUCGCCGAAAGACCAAGGGUUCCUGAUCAACGCUAAUCGGAUCAGGGUAAGCCGGGGCCUAAGCGUAAGCCGAAGGGCGAGCGCGACGGACGAAACGUUCAAGAUUACGUUGCUGCCGCAGUGAGAGACGUGGAGACGAAGCAGUGAAACCGCCGCCGGCUGACGGAAUAGCCGGUUGAAGGGCGUAGGCCAAGUUCGGGCAGGCAAAUCCACCCGUUCGGCCGAACCUGACAGUACGGAGAGCCCCCGGGCGAUCCGACAGCGCGGGUAACCAUACUUCCGAGAAAAUCCGCUAUCGCUAAUUGCUGCGGCACCCGUACCACAAACCGACACAGGUGGUCGAGUAUAGAGUACUAAGGCGCUCGAGUGAUUCACAGCUAAGGAACUAGGCAAAAUGGUCCUGUAACUUAGGGAGAAAGGACGCCUCCCCGGGAGACCGGGAGGCCGCAGAAGACUAGUCCAGGCGACUGUUUAACAAAAACAUAGGGCUAUGCCAAAUCGAAAGAUGAUGUAUAUGGCCUGACACCUGCCCGGUGCCGGAAGGUUAAGAGGAGAGGUCAUCCCUUCUGGGUGCAGCCUUGAAUUGAAGCCCCGGUAAACGGCGGCCGUAACUAUAACGGUCCUAAGGUAGCGAAAUUCCUUGUCGGGUAAGUUCCGACCUGCACGAAUGGUGUAACGAUCUGGAUACUGUCUCA